AAUUUGAUGGCGGAGGACUUCCUCAUAGGGGAGACUUUCCGUGGCAUGAUAGGGACAUCCGUGUACCUAUGUGGGGAUUUUCAAGUCGAAGGCGCAAAGUGGAGUUGGCGGCUUGGUUGGAUGUUGUUGUAUGGUAUGUGGGCAACGUGUAUGCAGCGUAGUACGUCACUAGUAAUCUAGUAAAGGUAUGAUAGUAACUAGUUAUAAUGCUGUUGGGCUCUGCUGACAACCAAUGAAUGCGCUAUGCCAAAUCUACGGUGUGCGAUUGGAAAUGCUGCUGUGGUGGUGGUAAUACCACAAGAGCCAAGAUGGCGUCUUCUCGUUCCUCUGCUUGUGUCGCAUCCACAAUGGCUGGGAGGACGGCGAUGAAAUUGGCCAGGGCACUAGACCGACAAGGCAAGCACGUGGAGGCCUCGUGAUAUGGUCUUGAUGAUCACUACUGGUCGUAUUGGAUAUCGUAGUGAUGACAGAGCCCCAGCUGUUUAGAACAAGGAAGAACUCGAGAAGGAGAGGUAGUGCAACAAUGGUACUUCUGGAGAUGUCUGAUAUUGCCAGGUGUGAGACAAAAGUCAUGACGCAGGAAUCACGGCUAUGGUGGAGAAGGUACAAAGUUGACCUGUAAGACACGCACAAACACAACGUCGACACUAAGAAUCAGAAGGCAAAACGCACGGUCUGGGCCACAUUAGCAUUCUUGAUGGUGGACAUCACACAUCGAAGAUAGAGCUUACUCAAGUGAAUUUUCAACUGUGUGCUGCACAAGAGCAUGUGGUGAUGGUGUAGUGAUGUGAAGUGUUUUUAGUCAGAGAGCGGGAAGAUUGAUAUAAAUAUGUUAUUUUAGAGUAGUGCAGUGCAGUGCGGUGCGGUGUGGUGUAGUGAAUCAUGGUGCUUUGUGGUGAAAUGCAGUCAGUUGCAGUGGUGCAAACGGGAAUCGCGUAGUGCAGUUGAAAGCAGAAUAGCGAUAUUCCUUUGGAUGUUGUGGGGAAUAUGGGUAUUGAAUACGUCAUGUGCAGUGGUGUGUUGUGCUGCUAUCUUACAGCAUGGUGUCAAUCGAAAGUUUAGUGCAGUGAAACAAAGCAAGUCUAUCAGUUUACUACAAAGUCCAUGACAGAGCAUGGCACAAAGCUCACCAGUGACCACUGUGUUUGGAAGGCUAGAAGAUGCAAUUAUCGGCUAACGAAUGCUACAGGAAAUGUGCAGAAGAAUUUCAAAGCUUAGCCUGACCAUCUGUGCACUGACUUCUUAUGGGAGCCACCAGUCACCAAGGCGAGGUUUCACACCAGAAGUGUUCAGAGAAGAGAAGCAAUGGUGCUAGAGAUGGUAAGCCUGCUGGCGCAAAACCACUGUGGCAAACCGCACUUAUAUGAAAAUGGAGGAAAAAAAUUUAGGGUACCGAUUCAAAUAUAGCAGCGGAGAAGCAUCAGUCGAAAAGCCAUUCAUCUUUCAAACAGAGAUUGCUCAUCUGGGGUUCUCUACCAUGUUUGCCAUUUUUAGGUAACUCUGUUUGCAGCCCGCCCUUAUGCCAUCGUGGUGGCUGUUACAAACAAUGAUGAUGAUAAAGGUUAUCAUAAUCAAAAUUUAAAAUGAGUCCCCUCCAGACUCACUUGCUCCCUCAACAUGCCUCUACAUUCUUCCAAGAAUAUAAAUGGACAUACCAACAGCAGAUAGAAUUGGCCAUUAACUUGGGCUCAGAAUGCCUUCUCAACCAGUUCUGCAGAAGCUUGGGAAUGAAGCUCCAAUUGCAUCCAAGUCAUUGCAUCAUGCAUGCUUCUCGCCUAUCACUGAGGUGCAACUCUAACCCAUGGCCACGACGAAGAAAGAGAUGGAGAAAGGUUAUUGAAUAUAAGAAGUAAUACAUAUGCACUGCCAGAUCCAAGCCUACACCGGUGUGGCAGAUUCACGCACAAGAAAAACAACCGCAGUGUUUUGAAAGUACAGCAUAUACUGGAACCGUGAAGAAGAAAACUUCGGGGCAAUCACAUUUACAAGGAUCCGCCCAGAUGCUCCCUUUCAGGAAAGAGAAGUGAUUUCAUGUCGUCAUUCACUGCACCAGUGAGUACAGAAAUACACAAAGGUCCAGAAACAGCAGUGGUGCAAUCAGACAAUGCUGUGAGAGUGAUGUGCAAAAUUUCGGUCUUGAUUCCGUAAAUUUUCUUUGUGUAUCUGCGCGUGUGUGUAUAGAAUCCUUGUUGCUCAGCAUUGUGCAGUGAAGUGCAGUGAAUGUGCUAGGAAGUGCACAAAAGUGCGUGUGUGUGUGCGUGUUCAUGCCAGCUGGCAGUUGAGUGCAGAUAAAUAAUUAGUUACGAUGUGUUAAUGGCUUACUCCAUUAAACGUAACUGCUCCUCUUAGAAUUAAGCCCGUAUAGUGAAGUGAGUGAUCGUUUGUUAACCUGCGGUGUAUAAGUAAGACAAAAAGCAGCAAAAGAAGUUCCAGAAGAACAAAAGGAAACAAGAGUAGAAGUGCAGAGCAUUGAAUGAAACACAAGAGCAAUACCAAACAAGAAAGUCCUGGCUAGGAAUAACUUGGCCACCAAGGGAGAGACUGGAAAUCAUGAACCGUGCCAAAUGGCAUCCAAGCUAUUCCGAUGCCAGAUAUUUCCGAAUCAGAAGCGCUCACCAGAAGUGCUCACGGCACAAUUAUAAAAACAGAAAAUUGAGGAAGAAGGUAGACUGAAAUGGAUUGAGCAUGACACCUGCUACAUACAAUGUAAAUCCCUGUAUCUACGAUACACAAAACAGUUACAACAAGAUACCCUUAUACGGUUUGGUUUGGCAACCUCAUGAAAUCAAACAACUCAUUCAAACAGCUCAGGGAAAAGAGGUAUGUGACUGUGUCAUCCCUAAUUGUGGUCUGCCUCGGCCAAUUCUCGUUGUUUACCUCAUGAAGUCAUCCAGAAUCGCACUGAGUGGCAAGGCAGUGCACAGCAUAGAAGCGUUGUGUGAAGCCAUACAAUAUAAUGUGGUGCAGUGAUGUGAAGUGUAGAGCAAUGCAAUUCUGAGCUAUGCAGUGCGGUGCAGAUGCUGAGUCGUGCUAUGAAGUGUGGUGCAGUGCUGUGUAGUGCUGUGGUGAGUGGUGAAGUGAAGUGUGGUAUAAAAGCAGUUGGGUGCAGUGUGGUGUGGUGUUGUGCAGUGCAGUGUUUCGCAAAGUGAGUGAUUAAGGGCAUUUUUAGUGAGUUUACACUAUCCUUGUGCAAACAUUAUGCAUUACAAAGUGGCUAGUGUUCAUACACGUACAAAGUAUUUAACACAAGCUAUUAAUAAAUUUAUAUAGUAUUACAAGUUGUACAUAUUAUUUAAUACUAUUCAUGUUACAUUAUGUACGUUGAUACCACUGGCCACUUUGUGUUAUCGCUCUGGUGUCUCAGGGCUCAAUGAAUCGUGGUGCUGGCAUUUCUAUUAAACUCAGACAUUUUGAGAAUUGGUAUAAGCAGUAUUUUCGCAUUUCCAGCAUUUCAGUAUUUCUGGCUAGUUGUAAAAAUAUAAUUGCACCCAGAUGGAGAGUUUAAAACAGUACUUUUUCCACUGGCACUAGCACACGUUUCAUUGUUCUCUG